GACGAACGCUGGCGGCGUGCUUAACACAUGCAAGUCGAACGGAAAGGCCCUGCUUUUGUGGGGUGCUCGAGUGGCGAACGGGUGAGUAACACGUGAGUAACCUGCCCUUGACUUUGGGAUAACUUCAGGAAACUGGGGCUAAUACCGGAUAGGAGCUCCUGCUGCAUGGUGGGGGUUGGAAAGUUUCGGCGGUUGGGGAUGGACUCGCGGCUUAUCAGCUUGUUGGUGGGGUAGUGGCUUACCAAGGCUUUGACGGGUAGCCGGCCUGAGAGGGUGACCGGCCACAUUGGGACUGAGAUACGGCCCAGACUCCUACGGGAGGCAGCAGUGGGGAAUAUUGCACAAUGGGCGGAAGCCUGAUGCAGCAACGCCGCGUGCGGGAUGACGGCCUUCGGGUUGUAAACCGCUUUCGCAGGUGACGAAGCGUGAGUGACGGUAAUGGGUAAAGAAGCACCGGCUAACUACGUG
rnacentral:rRNA from 1 species